CAGCCGCCGCGGUAACCCCGACGCUGCAGUGUUAACCGGAUUAUUGGGUCUAAAGGUCGCGUACCGGUUCUGUAAUGCCCUGGUGAAUCCCCGCACUCACUCCCGGCUGGCAUGGAUGACUACUGACUUGAAUAUCGGGGAAGUGAGACGGUAUUCCUGAGGGACCGGUAAAUUGUGAUAAUCUCCAUAGGACCACCGAUGGCAAAGCUGUCUUCUAAUAUGGAUCUGACGGUGAGGGAUGAAAGGUGGGGAGCGAUCCGGAUUAAAUACCCGAUUAUCCCUACCCGUAAACGCUGAUACUCGAUGUUACCAUACACUGUAGAUUGUGUAAUGUAAAAACGAAGGUGUUAACUUGCCACCUGGGAAGUACGGUUGAAGGCUGAAACUUUGGGAAUUGACGGU
rnacentral:rRNA from 1 species